rnacentral:lncRNA from 1 species
GAAACUUGUGUCCCGAUGCAAACGAGCUCUAGAUUCUCUGGAAAGCAAAAAGGAGAGCGAGGAGAGGAAGUUUCUCCAAUUUCUUUACUUCCCACCUGCUGGUCUGUCUGAUUUCCUGUCCAGCUCUGUCUGGUAAGGAAUUGACUCUCCCCCUCCUCGCCCGCCCUCGCCCUCCUGCCUUCCUCCCUCUCCUCCCUGAGUAACGAUGCUGUCCUAGCAAGUGAUGCUGUCCCAGCAAGUGAUGCUGUCCCAGCCUCGAGGCCAGCACGGAGCAGGCAUCGCAGCCGCUGCCUCAGGGCCCGAGCUCCCUUCCCAGCGCCCGCGACCCGCGCUGCCCCAGGCUUGCUCCCCGCAGCCGCGGCCACCCCUGACCGCUUGCACGAGGGCCCCGCUGAGCGCUCCGCCCGCCUUCCCGCCGCGGGCUGCGGGGCUGCGGGGCUGCGGGAGCGUCGGCCGAGGAGCCCUGGGGCCGGCAGCCCGGAGCGCGGACCGCCGCCCGCGCGAUGUCCACCAAGGUCAGGAAGAGCAAGGAGCAGGCGAGGGUGACCUUCCCCGCGCCGGAGGAGCAGGAGGAGGAGAACAGGGAGGACGAGAGCGAGGAGCCGCAGCGCCGCCGCCAGGGCUGGAGGGGCGUCAACGGGGCGCUCGAGCCACCCCGCUCCUGCCCGCUGCCCCGCUCCGCGGGCCCAGACGAAUAAUAAGUACAUUCCGGGAACUCUGUGUCCUGUAGUGAACCCGAAACCCACAGGGACAAGAUGGAGGGCCUGUAACAAGAUGGCGUUACUUGUGCUAAGUCUCAUCUGGGUCUUACAGAGGGACUCUGUUUCUCCUGCCGCGCACCGUGGGCGUCCUGAAGGGUUUAAUGUCUUUCUCUAAGGAAGAGCCACAGACGUCCGUAGAAAACUUGGGGUCUAAACUUGGCCUUGAAGGGGAGAUGGUUCUCUCCGGGAGGGACCGAGAUUCUGCAGCGCCCCCUGCCGCCCUAAAACUGUCCACUGCCGGUCCGAGGCCUGUGGGGCGACCCAGGAGGGACCCCACCAGUCCCCUGCUUGCUGCUUGGCUGCCUCAGAGCCGCCGCCGCCGCCUGGCCGAGCUGCACUUGGAUAAACAGAAAUCUAAGGCUGGGAGUAGAUCCUACAGGAAAGGGCUUGGAUUUAAAAUAAGCGACGCAUCCUGAGGCGGUUUCAUUAUUGCUGAAGUUAGCACACGGAGUGUAAAUGGCCCAGAAAAUGGAGGAAAAGACCCGAUCCUUUGGGAUUAAAGCGCUGUCAGCUCGCUUCAACACCUCCCUAAGGUUUAUAAAUAUUGCCCAUUUUGCUUCUUGCCAAAUUGCUUUUUUAUAAACUCGCUCAUUUUCUUUUAAAAGAAUCAUCUUUUUCCUUCAAUCAGGACUAAAUGGGAUACCUGUACACUCUUGUCUGAGAAAGUAGGGCUGAGCAGAGGUUAUUGUAUUCACAUUUGAGGCUCCAGGACCAUUACACAGUGCCCUGGGGCGAUUCAGUGGUGGGCUCCCCGUCUAACUGCUCAUACAACACCUUUCCUGUCUACCUACCGACUUCACCUGCUUCAGCGAGGAAGUGUUGUGGUGUACUUAUUCUGUAGGGGAAGAAGACCCAGUCUUUGGAAGGAGAUACACAUUAGUGAAUGUUUCUCUUGGGGGUAGGGCAGCAGGCCCUGUCACUUGGUAACCUCCGAGACUAGCUCGGUAUCUGGCAGAGAUAGGAAGAGCUCAGAAUAAUCCUCAUGUGUGCUGAAUAGCAUAUUCCUACCGAACAGGGUUCACAUCACUGUGGAAACGUGAGCAGGAAGGCCAGGGUGGACUCUGAGAAAGAUGCCAAGUCUAGCAAGGUCACAGGGGUAUUUUCAGUAAGCAGAGAGGCAGAGCUGAACUUAAAAUUCAGCAGGGUCCUGAGGAGAGAAUUCCACUUUUACUCCACCCCCAAUUUCCUCAGAGUAAUCCCGAGCUCAUUUCAUUGCUCCACGUUCCAGUAUUCCAGUGGGAAAGUGUAAACAGCUGAUAUAGGAGGGAGAAUGUUAUCUGUUCUAUCACUAGCAAGAUUUUUUUUUAAAAAAUCUUUGAUACAAAUCUUGAUUCUACCAUUUAGCCAAACCAAGACUUGCUCCAUCCCAAUUGUCUGCAAACCUAGGAACAAGUAAUUUGUCAUCAGAGUUUACCUCGUUCUUAAAGAUAUUUGGUUGUUAAAUGUACCUGAUGAAUGCCAAAAUGUUCUUGUGAGUUCAAGUUCAAAGACAUUUCUUUAGUGCAUACGAGUGCUAAGCGCAGGUUAGACAUAGCAACUCACAAAGGUGAUAACAGCACAUUCCUGUGCUCAGGAGUUUAAAAUUUCAUGGGAGGGGGAAGUCUGAGCAUGAGCAAUUCUGCUAUAAAUUAGAGUAAAAUAAGUACAGAUUUAAACAACAGAGAACUAUGAGAAAUCAAAUGCAGGAGAGAGGGACUUGGGUUGUAGAGAAACUAAGGAAGCCUUGGGCUAGGGAUGGAGCUCAGUGACACAAAGCUUGCCUAGCAUGUUCCUGGCCAUGGAUUCAAUCUCCAGCAAGAGGAGGGAAGGAAGGAAGAGAACAAGAAAGGAAGGGAGGAACAGGGGGAGGGAGGGGGAGGGAAGGAGAGAGGGAAAACAAAGAAAUAAAAAAAGAAAAUUUUGGAGACACUGGGUGAGGAUAAUAUGAAUACUUUGAGAAAUUAAGGAAACUUUUAUGGGCCUUGAAGGAUUGAUGGGGUAAGAAACAGGUAAUUAAUUCAAAUCCCUUCUCUCUUUUCUGCCAAAACAAAGCAAAACAAAACCCACCAGACAUGUCUCAGGAAUAUUAGUAGAGUUUGACUGGAACAUAGAGUAUGUGUAGGGGAGCAGUGAGAUUUGGCUAGAUAUUGUGAUUUGGGGUAUUAAUAUGAAAAAUCGUACAUGCUCAGGGUGUAGCAACAGGCAGCCAUUGCUUGUUUUAAAGCAGCAAGAAUUUGGUCAAAGCCACUCACUCUGGGAGCGAGAAGGAUUGAAGUGGCAGUUGACAGAAUGUAAAGGAACAAAUUCGGAGGUUGUUGUAGCUGCCCCAGCUCAGGUUAGGAUCUGUUACAGUGUAGUGUUGGUGGGAUGAAAAUGAGAGGUUGGAAGAGAGCACACAAGUGGAAUCUAGGGGAUUCUUCACAUUACUCCCAUGACAGGCUUAAAGAGAAGCAGGAAGAGAAAUGAUUUGAUUAUUUUGGCUAGAUAACUAGAGAUGUUGAUGUCAUUGUUGAGAAGAGCAAUGGGAAGGAUCUGAUUUUUCAGAUAAUUCUAAUAGGGGUGUCAAGCAAGGAAGAUAGAAAUCCAAGUUUAUAGAGGUUACAAGAAUUUGUGAGUUUGCUGUCUGGUGGAAACCGUGAAAGAAUUGCUGGUUCAUAUGAGAUUACUCAAAGGUGAGUGAAGAGAGAAACAAAAAGAGCCUAAACUAGUUUUCGGAGGUAAGAAAUUCAGAGGGCAAAGAGAAAAAUAGCAAACAAAACAUAAAAGAAAAGAAUGUGGGGUGGCACUAACGCAGGGAUGUCUAGAAAAGGACAAGACUUUGAGAAAAGGGAAAAAUUGACACACAGGUGGCAAAAGCUCAAGAAAGCAAGAAUUUAUGAGUCUACAUUUAGAAAGAAGAGUUAGUCCUUGCACACAUUAACAUAUAUGCACAGCCAGGGAAUUAGCUCAGUGGCACAGCACCUGCCUCGAAAGCACAAGGUCCUGAGUUCAGUCCCCAGUACCAAAAAAGAAAAAAAAAAAUCUAUGUAUGCACAAAGUCAUCGGAUUUCUCUGUAGUGUUACCUUUAACAGAGAGAGACUUCCAGUAAAGAGAACUUGGAGAUUUUUAUUAGUGCGACCAAAAAUUAGGCAUAAUAAAAGCAGUAAUCUGUGUUUAUAUAUGCUCAUUAACUUGAAUCACACCUUCUUAGAACAGGUUUUUAUCAUUGGCCUUUGACAGAGGAAACUGGUACACAGAGAAGGAAUUUUCUAAAAGUGAUUUGGCAAGUCAUAAACAGCUUCUGAUGCUUAGCUAUAAGAAAGGGGAGGUGAAGAUGAGGACCCUUUACUUUGUAAUGCAGAUUAACUAGUUGGGUGUCAGUUUCCAUGAGAGUGAAUUUUUAUGAAUGUUCCAAUCUUGGCCUGGUUUGGCUGCGGGAUUAAGAAUAGUGUUGUGUCCAUUGGUUGGCAUCAGAAUGGAAGUAACACCUUCUCAUCCCUAGAGUAGAGACUGGAGACUCUGCAGGUCCCGGAUGAAUCUCUAAGGACAGGGAUGUAGACUUUGAAGACUAAAGUCCGACUGGUGUUAUUUAGGAAAAGGUAGAUCAUUACUGUACAUUACAAAUUAAUUUUCAAGAACAGCACAACCUGGCAUUGGACUUGAGGCCUUUAGUAACCUAAAACUUUUCAGUAUAUGAUCAGAUUUGUGCACUACAGUAAGUUUCACUAAGUACAGUGUAGAAGUGUCAUUUCUGUUGGUUUGCUUCAAAUUAUUUUUGUAUAAUAUCGAAGUAAUACAUGACUGUAGUCUUAAAAGAUAGUGCUAAAAGGCUUUGAAGAACAAC